CGCAUCCGACUUUCAGAGUCAAAGGCAUGGUAGAGGAUCCGUCCGGCUCGCGAUACCUUUGACUCAACUAGAGUACAUUUAUAGAGCCUGGGGUGCCUCGUGUGGUUAUCGACAUCAUCUGACGAUUGGUACUGGAGCCAGUGAAUGAGUUCUUCAAUUGGCCAUCAGAGACUCGUGAUGCAGCCUGAGAGAUGUUUCUAAGGUAAUAUCAAUUCAAGACUCCUCAAAAUGAGGAGGCUGGCCGUCAGAUGAGGAGAUGGUCAUGCGGAGAUUUUGGGAUGGACUAUAUAGCUUUUGCUAGUUUGCCAUAGAGCACUCUAGUUCUGAGUCACCAUCGGAUUGAAAAUCUUACAUAGAUCACUGGAUGCAGACGGACAUAUGGGAGGCUCUCUGUGACUAGUAGAGUACUGAGGAGUACUCUGAUAGAUGGCAGAGGGCACGACAGAAUCGGUCUGCCCAACAGCAUCCAAUCAAGUACACUGGUGGCUCUGUUGGCAUACAUGUUGUGGCCAAUAGAUUGAUAAAAAUUCUACACUUAAAUUAAUUUUAUAUUGAAUUAAUCAUAUAUAUAUUUUAAUUAAUUUAAUUUUA